rnacentral:rRNA from 1 species
AGCAAACAGGAUUAGAUACCCUGGUAGUCCACGCCGUAAACGAUGUCGACUUGGAGGUUGUGCCCUUGAGGCGUGGCUUCCGGAGCUAACGCGUUAAGUCGACCGCCUGGGGAGUACGGCCGCAAGGUUAAAACUCAAAUGAAUUGACGGGGGCCCGCACAAGCGGUGGAGCAUGUGGUUUAAUUCGAUGCAACGCGAAGAACCUUACCUACUCUUGACAUCCAGAGAACUUUCCAGAGAUGGAUUGGUGCCUUCGGGAACUCUGAGACAGGUGCUGCAUGGCUGUCGUCAGCUCGUGUUGUGAAAUGUUGGGUUAAGUCCCGCAACGAGCGCAACCCUUAUCCUUUGUUGCCAGCGGUUAGGCCGGGAACUCAAAGGAGACUGCCAGUGAUAAACUGGAGGAAGGUGGGGAUGACGUCAAGUCAUCAUGGCCCUUACGAGUAGGGCUACACACGUGCUACAAUGGCGCAUACAAAGAGAAGCGACCUCGCGAGAGCAAGCGGACCUCAUAAAGUGCGUCGUAGUCCGGAUUGGAGUCUGCAACUCGACUCCAUGAAGUCGGAAUCGCUAGUAAUCGUAGAUCAGAAUGCUACGGUGAAUACGUUCCCGGGCCUUGUACACACCGCCCGUCACACCAUGGGAGUGGGUUGCAAAAGAAGUAGGUAGC